UCGAUUUCAUGUGUUCUGGGAAAGUGACUGAUAUUAAGAUGGACAAAGGGUGGUGUUAUAUUGCUUGCUCUAAGUGCACUAAAAAACUGCUAUGCACAGACUCAGCCUUGACAUGUGUGCACUGCGACAAUACACAUGCUUUUGGUGCCCUCUGAUAUCGAGUAGAGAUGGGCAUAGCUGAUGAUAGUGCUGAGGGAGUAUUCGUUUGUUUUGAUGGGGUGAUGACAAAGCUCCAUAACCUAAAAGCACAUGAAGCUGGUCAUAUGUUGGCUAGGGCAGGUGUCAAUCCUGAGGAUACUCAGGUCCCCCUUUUAUUUUGGACAUGGAAGGAAAGACGUUCACCUUUCAAGUCCGGGUUAGUGCAUACAAUUUCACGGCAAAUUAUCAGACCUUCACCAUCACACACAUUCUCAACGUGCACCGCUCCCUGAUUUCGUUGAUAAUGGAGGGAACGAGAAGAAUGGGGAUGACAUGCCGAGUGACAAUACAAUUCGUGCUAAGAUUGAAACUGGGGGUAGCACCCCGAAUGGUGAAGAACCAAAGAGGCCUUCAGCUAAAGCAGCUUUCAAGAUGGUCAAGAAGGCACGUCUGUCUUAAUGCUUUGGCAUCAGAUUUACUCUGUUUCAAUAAUUAUUAGACAUCGAUGCUGUUUUAAAAAUUUAAGAUGUGGUGUCUGCUUCUGGUUUCUUAAACUUUCUGAACAAUCUGCGUUUUAUGGAAUUAAGUUUCAAAUUAUG